CCAUGCUGCCAGAAGUCACCCUGGCAGCAUCUCAGCCUCUGCCUAAGGCUGUUGGACACUGCGAGGAGCCUGCUAGUGGGCUGAAAGUGAGGGGGCAGCAAGUAGAGACCUACAUUUAGGGUGUGCAGAUGUCAACUUGUGACGUGCUUUCUCCUCGACAGGGAAGUGGGGAGAUGGUCGUGUCUGCAGCUGGAUCAUUAGCUUCUUUUCGCUCUGAUACCAUACAGCAUGUAUCAUAUCCAGCAAGGCUACAUUACAGAAUACAAUUAAGCAAGCGCAUGCCUAUCUCCUUUGGAAACCUGGAAAGUAAGAUACAGCAAAGAGAAGAGAAAACUGAAUAGCUGAG